rnacentral:rRNA from 1 species
GAUGAACGCUGACAGAAUGCUUAACACAUGCAAGUCUACUUGAAUUUGGGUUUUUUAACUUCGAUUUGGGUGGCGGACGGGUGAGUAACGCGUAAAGAACUCGCCUCACAGCUAGGGACAACAUUUGGAAACGAAUGCUAAUACCUGAUAUUAUGAUUAUAGGGCAUCCUAGAAUUAUGAAAGCUAUAUGCGCUGUGAGAGAGCUUUGCGUCCCAUUAGCUAGUUGGAGAGGUAACGGCUCACCAAGGCGAUGAUGGGUAGCCGGCCUGAGAGGGUGAACGGCCACAAGGGGACUGAGACACGGCCCUUACUCCUACGGGAGGCAGCAGUGGGGAAUAUUGGACAAUGGACCGAGAGUCUGAUCCAGCAAUUCUGUGUGCACGAUGACGCUUUUCGGAAUGUAAAGUGCUUUCAGUUGGGAAGAAAAAAAUGACGGUACCAACAGAAGAAGUGACGGCUAAAUACGUGCCAGCGGCCGCGGUAAUACGUAUGUCACGAGCGUUAUCCGGAUUUAUUGGGCGUAAAGCGCGUCUAGGUGGUUAUGUAAGUCUGAUGUGAAAAUGCAGGGCUCAACUCUGUAUUGCGUUGGAAACUGUGUAACUAGAGUACUGGAGAGGUAAGCGGAACUACAAGUGUAGAGGUGAAAUUCGUAGAUAUUUGUAGGAAUGCCGAUGGGGAAGCCAGCUUACUGGACAGAUACUGACGCUGAAGCGCGAAAGCGUAGGUAGCAAACAGG